rnacentral:lncRNA from 1 species
GCCUUUGUUCUCGGGUCGCCCCUCUCGCUGGUGGCGCUCCGAGAGAGCAGCGGAGCCACCUGCCCAGGCCACGCUUCCCCGAGCAUCCGCAGCUGCACCCGGGGGCUGUCGGCGCCCGCCCCGGAGCGUGCGGGAGGCACAGCGGGAAGAAGUCGCUGAGAUUCGGCCCUCGUGGCUUUGCGUGCCCGCGUGGUUGAUGCCUCCGCCGAGAACGCGGUCGGCCGGGAGCCGGGGAGGAGCGUGGACGCCGGCCUGGCAGGUACCCCCGCGAGAACGUGGGAGCCGGUGUAUUUCAGCUGCAUUUAUUACUGAUCUCGGGCUGCACCAGGGCACUUGUAGGACCGCACUAAAAACAGCGGAAAGUGAGGAGCCAAGCCUGGGUCCGGGGCGGCCCGCCGUACAGCUGGCCUCACGGAUUCCACUGCCUGCGCCUGCAGAUGACUUGUUCUGGAGAGUAGAGAAUGUUCUCGGAUUUAAAGUACAAUCCGGUUUCCUUUCCAUUCAUUAUAGUUGCCUACACUCAACAAACAAAAGUUGGGAAAGAUAAAGGGAUUAUUCUAGCGCGUCACAUUGACAAACACCGACGUUAACACGCUCAGUCCAGCCUGACUCACUUGCCUCAGGUCAGAGAGGUCACCACUGACGACGCCGGGCCCUCAAGCCGAUCCUAAUCCAGCUUGGUUCUCUCAGCCUCAGCCAGACCAUCCGUUCUUGCCUCUGUCCCACCACGUGCAGGUGAGCCUCCUACAUGGUGCUGCUUCUAGUCGGCCGUCUUGGCCCCACCCCUAGUUUUGCAUGGCUGGGAGGCCUCAGGAAACUUAAAAUCAUGGCGCAAGGCAAAGGGAAAGCAACGCACCUUCUUCACAAGGCAGCAGGAGGGAGCUGGAGUGAUUUUCUAAGAAUAAUUCUGGCCAAACUUUCAUGCACUCCCGCAGCCAAACUCCAUUUGGAUCUAUUCAGGCAGGAAUCAUAUUUCAGCUCCUUAACUCUCAUAAGUGGAAACUGACACCAACUCAUUAUAAAACCUAAGUGGAAA